AGAGUUUGAUCCUGGCUCAGGACGAACGCUGGCGGCGCGCCUAACACAUGCAAGUCGAACGGAGCUGAGAGGAGCUUGCUUUUCUUAGCUUAGUGGCGAACGGGUGAGUAACGCGUGAGUAACCUGCCCUGGAGUGGGGGACAACAGUUGGAAACGACUGCUAAUACCGCAUAAGCCCACGGAUCCGCAUGGAUCUGCGGGAAAAGGAUUUAUUCGCUUCAGGAUGGACUCGCGUCCAAUUAGCUAGUUGGUGAGGUAACGGCCCACCAAGGCGACGAUUGGUAGCCGGACUGAGAGGUUGAACGGCCACAUUGGGACUGAGACACGGCCCAGACUCCUACGGGAGGCAGCAGUGGGGGAUAUUGCACAAUGGGGGAAACCCUGAUGCAGCGACGCCGCGUGGAGGAAGAAGGUUUUCGGAUUGUAAACUCCUGUCGUUAGGGACGAUNAUGACGGUACCUAACAAGAAAGCACCGGCUAACUACGUGCCAGCAGCCGCGGUAAAACGUANGGUGCAAGCGUUGUCCGGAAUUACUGGGUGUAAAGGGAGCGCAUGCGGACCGGCAAGUUGGAAGUGAAAACUAUGGGCUCAACCCAUAAAUUGCUUUCAAAACUGCUGGCCUUGAGUAGUGCAGAGGUAGGUGGAAUUCCCGGUGUAGCGGUGGAAUGCGUAGAUCUCGGGAGGAACACCAGUGGCGAAUGCGACCUACUGGGCACCAACUGACGCUGAGGCUCGAAAGCAUGGGUAGCACACCGGAUUUGAUACCCUUGGUAGUCCAUGCCGUANACGAUGAUUACUAGGUNUUGGAGGAUUGACC
rnacentral:rRNA from 1 species